UGCCCGGUAGCUAAAUGCGGAAGAGAUAAGUGCUGAAAGCAUCUAAGCACGAAACUUGCCCCGAGAUGAGUUCUCCCUGAGACUUUAAGUCUCCUGAAGGAACGUUGAAGACGACGACGUUGAUAGGUCGGGUGUGUAAGCGCAGCGAUGCGUUGAGCUAACCGAUACUAAUGAACCGUGAGGCUUAACCUU
rnacentral:rRNA from 2 species